UAUUGUAAUUUGAGCCUUGUUAAACAUCCGCGAUAUAUUUAGUAGUUUGUUUGAGAUUUGUGGACUGUUUGGAAGGUGACUGCUAUAAAGUUCUCGGACAUAUUUUUUAACUCACCAAAAGUGGCGAAAGUCCAGUUCAAAUCGGAGAAAUUUGCCAUCACGUCCUUAUUGAUGUAAUUAGUUUGCGACAUAAUUGUCCACUCCUCGGCUGCCGCAGCCCAGAUGGAUGCAUAGGGAUGGAUGUUGUGGUCAGCCUUGGUAAAUUGGUACAAAAGUAUGUCUUUUUUCGUGGUCAGUUAAACUCCUGUUCUGCCUUGUUCGCUUCCACGUUUUGCAAGUAUAAGAAAACAAGGAGAUCACGUCAAUAGGCCUAGGUUCUAACAGCUGGCAGCAGUCUGCCUGCCCCCCGUGUCAUCACCAUGCCAGAUAAAGAAGAUGUUCUGAUGUGUUUUCCUUUCCACCCCAAAUCCCUAUCCCACAUCAUUUGACCAGUGGUCCUUGUGACUAAAGGAAGACAUGAAGUGGUCCCCAAAAACAUCAGAGAAGUAUGCUAAGACUCAAUGAAUGAUGCAAGCACAGGAGAGCACUUCCUAAAGUUGCUUCAUCUUCCUAUAAGGGUAUGCACAUGUGAUAUUACAUUUUACAAUGACUAUGGUAGUUACUGAGUGGCGAUGCAAAAUGAGUGCAGUUAAUAUAUGAAUGAUGCGUUGGUGUCUCUUACCAUCCUGCUUUUACCAAAUUGCUUUAUCCAGAAAGCAAUUUAGGCUAGAUCUGUCAGAAUUAAGACUAUGGUUCCAGAACAGCCUCAUCCCCUCAGCAGUCUGAUUACUCAAUACGUUCAUGACACAAGACCCUGUACUGUAACAUUGUGACUAUAACUUAUGUGAAUGUAUAUGCAACUGACUGUUGUCAUGGUUUGAUCUGUUGUACUGUUGCUGUUCAUGUAAUAUUACACAUACUGUAUUGUUGACAUACUAUCACAGUAAGGUAUUCAACUGUUGGUCCAGCUUAUCCCUGCCAAUGUAGGCAGAGCUCUGAAUGUAUGGCUCUGAAUGUAGGUUCAACUGGUUCUGCAGUUUGUCAAAAUGCUUUAAUGCUUUAACAUUGCUUCAUCUCUGUAAGGGUAUGUACUUGUGAUCUCACAAAGGCAUCAUGGUAGUUACUGAGUGGAAAAGCAACAGCCUCAUCCCUUCAGCAGUCUCUUUACUCAAUACACUCAUGACACAAGACCCUGUUGUACUGUUGCUGUUGUACAUUUAAUAUUACACAUAUUGUAUUGUUGACAUCAAGACCACCUGUGUGUGAACACUUGUACUCUUAUUUUGGUCUCUGUUUUACAUUGAAUUGAUAUCAUGCAUU